UCGCUUAAACCCAGGAAGCAGAGGUUGC
rnacentral:piRNA from 1 species